GAAAUGCGAUAAGUAAUGUGAAUUGCAGAAUUCCGUGAAUCAUCGAAUCUUUGAACGCACAUUGCGCCCUCUGGCAUUCCGGGGGGCAUGCCUGUCCGAGCGUCAUUACGCACCCUCAAGCCCGGCUUGUGUGAUGGGCCCUGGCGUCUCGGUCGCGAGACGGGCCCGAAAGGCAGCGGCGGCGUCGACCCGAUGAGCACGAGCGUAUGGGGACUUUUGUCACACGUUUGCGGUGCGGACCGGCGCCUGCUUGACUUUUCUGAUUAUCCAGGUUGACCUCGGAUCAGGUAGGGAUACCCGCUGAACUUGAGC
rnacentral:misc_RNA from 1 species